rnacentral:snoRNA from 1 species
CUCGGUCGAUGAUGACUCAAGUUUCUUAUGGUGACGGCUGGAUGAAUCCUGCGGAUAUGGGGCUGAGACUGAGC